UUUGAGACCGGCGCACGGGUGCGUAACGCGUAUGCAACCUACCUCUUACUGGGGAAUAGCCCGAAGAAAUUCGGAUUAAUGCAACAUAUGCUCGUACGGCCUCAUGGUCGAGCGAGGAAAGCUCCGGCGGUAAGAGAUGGGCAUGCGUCCUAUUAGCUUGUUGGUGAGGUAACGGCUCACCAAGGCGAUGAUAGGUAGGGGGCCUGAGAGGGUGGUCCCCCACACUGGUACUGAGACACGGCCCAGACUCC
rnacentral:rRNA from 1 species